GGGGAAUCUUGCGCAAUGGGCGAAAGCCUGACGCAGCAACGCCGCGUGGGGGAUGACGGCCUUCGGGUUGUAAACCUCUUUCGACAGGGACGAAGCUUUCGGGUGACGGUACCUGUAGAAGAAGCACCGGCUAACUACGUGCCAGCAGCCGCGGUAAUACGUAGGGUGCGAGCGUUGUCCGGAUUUAUUGGGCGUAAAGAGCUCGUAGGCGGUUUGUCGCGUCGGCCGUGAAAACCUGCAGCUUAACUGUGGGCGUGCGGUCGAUACGGGCAGACUUGAGUUCGGCAGGGGAGACUGGAAUUCCUGGUGUAGCGGUGAAAUGCGCAGAUAUCAGGAGGAACACCGGUGGCGAAGGCGGGCCUCUGGGCCGAUACUGACGCUGAGGAGCGAAAGCAUGGGGAGCGAAC
rnacentral:rRNA from 1 species